CCUACGGGUGGCAGCAGUGAGGAAUAUUGGUCAAUGGCCGUAAGGCUGAACCAGCCAAGUCGCGUGAAGGAAGAAGGAUCUAUGGUUUGUAAACUUCUUUUAUAGGGGAAUAAAGGUAUCCACGUGUGGAUCUUUGCAUGUACCCUAUGAAUAAGCAUCGGCUAACUCCGUGCCAGCAGCCGCGGUAAUACGGAGGAUGCGAGCGGUAUCCGGAUUUAUUGGGUUUAAGGGGUGCGUAGGUUGUUUUUUAAGUCAGCGGUGAAAGUUUGUGGCUCAACCAUAAAAUUGCCGUUGAAACUGGAAGACUGGAGUGUGUUUGAGGUAGGCGGAAUGCGAGGUGUAGGGGUGAAAUCCAUAGAUAUCACGCGGAACACCGAUUGCGAAGGCAACUAACUGGGCCAUAACUGACACUGAGGAGCGAAAGCGUGGGGAUCAAACAGGAUUAGAUACCCGGGUAGUC
rnacentral:rRNA from 1 species